rnacentral:rRNA from 1 species
AUGGCCUACGGGGGGCAGCAGUAGGGAAUCUUCCACAAUGGGCGAAAGCCUGAUGGAGCAACGCCGCGUGGGUGAAGAAGGUCUUCGGAUCGUAAAACCCUGUUGUUAGAGAAGAAAGUGCGUGAGAGUAACUGUUCACGUUUCGACGGUAUCUAACCAGAAAGCCACGGCUAACUACGUGCCAGCAGCCGCGGUAAUACGUAGGUGGCAAGCGUUAUCCGGAUUUAUUGGGCGUAAAGAGAACGCAGGCGGUCUUUUAAGUCUGCUGUGAAAGCCUUCGGCUUACCCGGCGUAGUGCAUUUGUA